CGGCCAACAGUCAGUGGAGAUGACCAUGGAGGUCUUAAAGAAGAUGAAGAGGACUGAUCUGGCUCAGAGGCUGUCAGACUGCAGCUCACUGCCUCGAAAGAAACACUCUGUGGAUGAACGACGCUCUGCACUGAUCCACAAAGCGGCAACAAUUGCAGCUGUUAAACAUCUGCUUUUAGAAACUUUGAAUGAUUUGAGUGAUGA